rfam:Spirochaetes bacterium RBG_13_51_14 RBG_13_scaffold_7132, whole genome shotgun sequence.
GUUUCAAUUCCUCAUAGGUAGAAUAAAGAC